GCAAAGUUUAAAAAGAAAAAUAUUCGAUCUCUUAUUUCCCUCCCCUCUUCCUUGAAAUUUCUUUACCUGGUAAAACAGAAUAAUGAUUAAAUUCUCUAGGAUAAUUGCAUAAAAGUUCCCUAGAAAAGAAAAAUGUUGGCUUCAUUUCUGUUUUGUGGCAAAGAGAAACUAUGGAAAAGGAAAAUAUAAUGUAAUUUGAAGGUUCCCCAUCUCCAUGGUUGUCCCCAAAAAAUAAAUAAAAGAGAAAAAA
rnacentral:misc_RNA from 1 species